CUUAGCUCAGCUGGUUAGAGCAUCUGACUGUUAAUCAGAGGGUCGCUGGUUCGAGCCCAGCAG
rnacentral:tRNA from 1 species